AACGAACGCUGGCGGCAUGCCUAACACAUGCAAGUCGAACGAGACCUUCGGGUCUAGUGGCGCACGGGUGCGUAACGCGUGGGAACCUGCCCUUAGGUUCGGAAUAACUCCCCGAAAGGGGUGCUAAUACCGGAUAAUGUCUUCGGACCAAAGAUUUUUCGCCUUUGGAUGGGCCCGCGUUGGAUUAGCUAGUUGGUAGGGUAAAAGCCUACCAAGGCGACGAUCCAUAGCUGGUCUGAGAGGAUGAUCAGCCACACUGGGACUGAGACACGGCCCAGACUCCUACGGGAGGCAGCAGUGGGGAAUAUUGGACAAUGGGCGAAAGCCUGAUCCAGCCAUGCCGCGUGAGUGAGGAAGGCCUUAGGGUUGUAAAGCUCUUUUACCCGGGAUGAUAAUGACAGUACCGGGAGAAUAAGCUCCGGCUAACUCCGUG
rnacentral:rRNA from 1 species